GUAAGGAAUAUUGGUCAAUGGACGCAAGUCUGAACCAGCCAUGCCGCGUGAAGGAUGAAGGUCCUCUGGAUUGUAAACUUCUUUUAUAUGGGACGAAAAAAGGGAAUUCUUUCUCACUUGACGGUACCAUAGGAAUAAGCACCGGCUAACUCCGUGCCAGCAGCCGCGGUAAUACGGAGGGUGCAAGCGUUAUCCGGAUUCACUGGGUUUAAAGGGUGCGUAGGUGGGCAGGUAAGUCAGUGGUGAAAUCUCCGAGCUUAACUCGGAAACUGCCAUUGAUACUAUCUGUCUUGAAUAUCCUGGAGGUGAGCGGAAUAUGUCAUGUAGCGGUGAAAUGCUUAGAUAUGACAUAGAACACCAAUUGCGAAGGCAGCUCACUACGGGAUUAUUGACACUGAGGCACGAAAGCGUGGGGAUCAAACAGGAUUAGAUACCCGGGUAGUCC
rnacentral:rRNA from 1 species